rnacentral:lncRNA from 1 species
GUGUAGCAUCUCUUUGAACCCCCUCGACCGUCUGAGCUUCCGGACUUCUCCGACAAUGAGCUUCUCCAUCUAUAUACCGGGCCGCUCUAAAGGCUCUCUAGGCCUCACUAUCAGCCAACCUUCUACAGUGAUCAACUAUUCUCCAAACUUCUUUCAGACUUCAUCGAUAUCCGAGCUUCUUCGACAACGAGAUUGCUAUAGUAAUCAGACUCCAUCUAAGUUUCUACGGUGGUCGACCGCCUUUGGGAUUCCAACCGAGCUCCUGCGAGAGCCGAACUUCUACUACGAGCGGUCUACUCCGAACUUCUACUACGAGCGGUCUACUCCGAACUUCUACUACGAG